AGAGUUCCUGCCUGCAGCCUGGUGUCAAUCAAGCAGACUCUGAGAAGCCCAGGGAUAGAAGAACAGGCAGCCAGAGCUCCGCACACCCACGGAAGGACCGGCCGGCGGCAGGAUGUGUCAGAAAGCCUGAGGGAUGGGUUUGGCCUAGGACUACACCUUGAUAGAGCCAAGGCAGCUGAGCCGGUGGAAAGGGAGAGUCAAAGGAGGGGCAGUGCCUCAGCAGAGGCCUGUGCCACAACAACAGCCCCAUCUGUCUAUCCACUGGCUCCUGUACUCAGAGGCACCCCUGACUCCACCACGGUGACCCUGGGAUGUCUGGUCAAGGGCUAUUUCCCUGAGCCAGUGACCGUGAGCUGGAACUCUGGAGCCCUAACCAGCGGCGUACACACCUUCCCGUCGGUCCUGCAUUCUGGGCUCUACUCCCUCAGCAGCUCAGUGACUGUGCCUUCCAGCACCUGGCCCAGCCAGACCGUCACCUGCAACGUAGCCCACCCGGCCAGCAGCACCAAGGUGGACAAGAAAAUCGUGCCUGGAACUGGAGAUCAUUGCAAGCCUUGCGUAUGUCCAGGCCCAGAAGUAUCGUCAGUCUUCAUCUUCCCACCGAAGCCCAAAGAUGUGCUCACAAUCUCUCGGAGUCCCAAGGUCACGUGUGUUGUGGUGGACAUUAGCCAGGAUGAUCCCGAGGUCCGGUUCAGCUGGUUUGUAGACGGCAAGGAAGUGCACACGGCUCAGACGCAGCCCCGGGAGGAGCAGUUCAACAGCACCUACCGUAUGGUCAGCGUCCUCCCCAUCCUGCACCAGGACUGGCUAAGCGGCAAGGAGUUCAAAUGCAAGGUCAACAGCCCAGCCUUCCCUGCACCCAUCGAGAAAACCAUCUCCAAAUCCAGAGGGCAACUUCAGGUCCCACAGGUGUACGCCAUGCCCCCACCCAAGGAGCAGUUGACCAAGGAUGAGGUCAGCCUCACCUGCAUGGCAGUGGGCUUCUUCCCUGAGGAUAUUGAUAUGGAAUGGCAGAGGAACGGAGAGCCAGAGAAGAACUUCAGGAACACCCCACCCGUCUUGGACGCGGACGAGACUUACUUCCUCUACAGCAAGCUCAAUGUGAAGAGGAAAGAUUGGGAGAGUGGAAAUUCUUUCACCUGCUAUGUGGUACACGAGGCCCUGCACAACCACCACACAGAGAAGACUCUGUCCCACCGUCCUGGUAAAUGAGCCCAGUGUCCUGUGAACCCUCUGGUCCUAAGGGACACUGACACCUACCUCCAUACCUUCCCUGUGUAAAUAAAGCACCCAGCACUGCCCUGGGAUCCUGCAAAAAAA